GACGAACGUUGGCGGCGUGCCUAAUACAUGCAAGUCGAGCGAAGCGGCGGGUGGGUGAGUAACGCGUGGGUACCCUGCCCUUAAGUCUGGGAUACCACUUGGAAACAGAUGGCAAUACCGGAUACUAAAGGUUGGACCUGCGAUGCUUUAGCUAGUUGGGAAGGUACCUGCUUACCAAGGCGAGGAUGCAUAGCCGAGUUGAGAGCCUGAGCGGCCGCAUUGGGACUGAGACACGGCUCAAACUCGUACGGGAGGCAGCAGUAGGGAAGCUUGCACAAUGGACGAAAGUCUGAUAGAGCAACGCCGCGUGAGUGAAGAAGGUUUUCGGAUCGUAAAGCUCUGGUGUUGGUGACGCGGUAAUCAACCAGAAAGCCACGGCUAACUACGUGCCAGCAGCCGCGGUAAUUC
rnacentral:rRNA from 1 species